rnacentral:rRNA from 1 species
UACGUAGGGUGCGAGCGUUAAUCGGAAUUACUGGGCGUAAAGCGUGCGCAGGCGGUUCGUUGUGUCGGUGGUGAAAGCCCCGGGCUUAACCUGGGAAUGGCCAUGGAAACUGGCGAACUGGAGUGUGGCAGAGGGGGGUGGAAUUCCGCGUGUAGCAGUGAAAUGCGUAGAGAUGCGGAGGAACACCGAUGGCGAAGGCAGCCCCCUGGGAUGAUACUGACGCUGAGGCACGAAAGCGUGGGUAGCAAACAGG